rnacentral:rRNA from 1 species
GACGAACGCUGGCGGCGUGCUUAACACAUGCAAGUCGAACGGAAAGGCCCUGCUUUUGUGGGGUGCUCGAGUGGCGAACGGGUGAGUAACACGUGAGUAACCUGCCCUUGACUUUGGGAUAACUUCAGGAAACUGGGGCUAAUACCGGAUAGGAGCUCCUGCUGCAUGGUGGGGGUUGGAAAGUUUCGGCGGUUGGGGAUGGACUAGCGGCUUACCAGCUUGUUGGUGGGGUAGUGGCUUACCAAGGCUUUGGCGGGUAGCCGGCCUGAGAGGGUGACCGGCCACAUUGAGACUGAGAUACGGCCCAGACUCCUACGGGAGGCAGCAGUGGGGAAUAUUGCACAAUGGGCGGAAGCCUGAUGCAGCAACGCCGCGUGCGGGAUGACGGCCUUCGGGUUGUAAACCGCUUUCGCCUGUGACGAAGCGUGAGUGACGGUAAUGGGUAAAGAAGCACCGGCUAACUACGUG